UACGGGGGGGGCAAGCGUUGUUCGGAAUUACUGGGCGUAAAGGGCUUGUAGGCGGCCAACUAAGUCCGACGUGAAAUCCCCAGGCUAAACCUGGGAACUGCGUCGGAUACUGGAUGGCUUGAAUUCGGGAGAGGGAUGCAGAAUUCCAGGUGUAGCGGUGAAAUGCGUAGAUAUCGGAAGGAACAUCAGUGGCGAAAGCGGCUUCCUGGACCAGCACCGACGUUCAGGCACGAAAGCGUGGGGAGCAAACAGG
rnacentral:rRNA from 1 species